rnacentral:ncRNA from 1 species
GAAAAGAUUAGGAAGUAGUAGUAAAAUAUUUUUCUUUCAGAGAGAAGUCGUCUGCUGCAAGACUUUAGAAAAAAUUUAUGAACUUGUCCUGUUUAAAAAUCUUUCGUAUAUUUUUGUUCUGCGUUAAAGAACAAGCAAGGGUCACAAUAAUUGUGAAACUUAGGUGGUACCGCGAUAAUUCGUCCUAUGA